rnacentral:lncRNA from 1 species
UUCCCCUUAUUUCUGAAUAGGUUUCCUCAGCGGAUGGCCACCCCUCGCUAACCAAGGAUGGAGAGUUCUGGGUCUGUGGUGUCCCCAGUGAGUCACAGAGGCCAGGUACCUAACUCAGAUGUCCUCCAGCAGAACACUGGUG